GCAGUCAGACGACGACGUAUAGUAAGUAUACUUUCAGCGUCUUUUUAAUAUGUUGAAGCGCAGUUGUCCUUGUGAGUGCCGCGGCUAGCGCCCCACGCACGCGGUGCGGCGUCUACUCUUCAGAGACCAGGUGCCACGCGGACGAAUGAAACACGAAUGGAGUAGGCCAGUUAUAUAGCUCUACAGGACGAAUAUGUGAUCAAAUAAGCGCCCAAGAUUUCCCUUUACACGUGAGCAGCACAAAUUAAACAAGUCAGAAACAUGAGAAGUGGAGAAGGAGCGUACGCAGAACGGUGCCUGUUUGAUUGGUCGUGCUUUGAAAAGUAAAUGUGGUUCUGCUUAUUGGUAGCGCAGUUGUGUCGUCGUGACACAUUGCCGUUGUGUUGUGGAUUAACAAGUACACUGCUGUGAGCUCGGACAGAGUAAGGCUUGCAGGCUUAUUUUCGACAUGCUUCCCCAGGCGGAAAUUUGAACUGGAAUCCCAAGUGGAUCCACUUGACUACCGAAGCGGUUUGAAGUGGACUGAACUGGUCCCACUUCAGAGUCAAGUGUUUCCAGUAGGGAACCACUAAGCAUGCUUAGUGGUUCCCAACUGGUUCCUUUCCAGCCCCAAGUGGAUACCACGUAGGAGUGAAGUGGUUCCAUUUUGCCAGCAAGUAGACUUGACAAUGUCCACUUUAAUCCAAUAUGGUUACACUUUGGUGAUAAAGCGAAAACUAAAGUGGGUUAGACGGGCCCACUGAAACCACUUUGACAACAACAAUCUUGGAGAAAGUGGGAGCAUCACUGUCUGGUGGCAUCGCCAUCGCUAGCGACAGAGUCAAAAGGAGACCAUCCAAUCCGAUCCAAUCCCUGUCGUUCAGUUGAACCGUUGUGUUUUGCGGGAGUGAACGGGAACGCUACAUUGAAUUUUAUGGACUACUGGAUCCGAUCACAAGUAAUUACAAGGAAGCCUAAGGUACUCUGGGCUGGCCUGAACAAGAAAAUGGUUGCCAAAAGGAAGACAGAUGUCUCGAGAGCAGUUAACCAGAUGUGUGAGCUUCAUUAUUUGGUGUGCCAAGUUUGUUAAACUUUGUAAUGUUUCAAGUUUUGCUGCAUUCUUGUUUCCUUUGACACCAUAAGUUCCUCCUCUGUUGGCAACAAAUAAAAGUGUGCCCUGUGUUGGCAUGCAAUGCCCAUUACUAAGGAUAGGUGAAAAUUUUGUCCAAAGCUCGUAGACUCAAAACUUACACUUCAAACUUUACUGCAAUUGAAGUAAAUUGAAUGCGAGACUUCGCAAGGAUUUGAGAAAAAUUAGGUGAGCAUCAUACGGAUACCGAGCACGAACCGCCCCUCGAUACCGAAUACAAUGCUCGCAUUCAUUUUGCACGUGUAAUUAGUUUCUAAAUUAUGACAAUUGCAAACCGAAACAGAAAUGCGAAGAGCAGAAAACAGAGCUCCAUACUACGGCGGUUCGUCCGGAGGAGGAUACCGUGACGUCACCCAGCAUUGUUGUCUACUUCAAAACUUGCAUUCUCCCUUGCCAGAUGAUGUCAGCAGCGUGUUGCUUUCAGUGCCCUCUCGCUUAACAGAGGCGAAGCACUUGCUUCAUAAUAAAUUUGUUUGAAUAAAAUCUGUGUAUGUCAUACACAUGUUCCUGACAUCCCAAACGUUAUGGCUAUACCAUAAUCUUUGUGGUGAUUUUGUUGUGGAAUCCUACUUUCAAAAUAAAUGUCUAUCCAACAAAAUAUAGAUGUGCACACAGCAAUUGAUACACUUUUAUAGGUUGCCACCAUGUACUCUUUGCUUGAAAGAUUUGUGGUGACAUGUCGUGUUAUUUUGAUGGACAUUUUUUAUAGCUUCACGCACAAACUGUAUUGCGCACUAUACUCAUAUUCAAGUUAAGAAGAGAAAGGAAAUCUAGUCCGUCAGCUCUCCAAAUAUGAGUGCGCCACGGAUAGAAACGCUGGACACAGUGAGGUCACGCUCCCUGCUUGCGCCAGAUAAUAUAAUCCAUCAUACUCGCUACACUGCAGUGUUUCUCCUGGCACACUAUUGCUUUUCAUUAUCUCCAACGGUGUAUGUUGUUGACAGACUAGAUUCCCUUUCCUUCUUAUGUUGAACACUGCUGUAGAGUGUGGAGGGAGACAGUUCUUUUCUACUUUUUUAUGUGUCAUUCUUGGUGAGAUUAAGCCCUUGGAAUACAUGUACCCGUCGGGCUCUGACAUCAGAGCUCCGGUCACUGCUGUCUUUUAGCAUGUGACUUCUCUCACGCUUCCUCAUUGGCAGAAAUGCUUACCGUGAGUCAUUUGCAACUGGGACCUGUCCGAAUAGCGAACAUCUGUCAGGUACAUGGUACCAUGGCAGCUCUGCCUGUUGGCUUUUGUGUGAACUACCGCCUUUUAAAUUAGAGCGUAGUAGUGAAUAUCAAAACUUCACAAGCUUCAAUAUUCUUGAUGUCAUUUUUCUGUGUCUAUUGCUCCCUUUGCUGUGAAACUUGGAAUACUGGAUGACAUCAGUGCAAAUAAGUGAAUAAGUGCAUUUGACAUUUUUCCGUGACAGCUUGAAAUGAAUUGUUGCAGUUCAUUUAGUAUCUGUUUCUGUCUUUGUACUCCAGUGCUGUUUUACAUUGCUUCAAAACCAGCUGAGAGUGUAAAAAGGAGAAAUAAAAGUGCAAUGCAGUUAAAUAGGCGUCUGUGGCUGACUGUAAGUGGGCUACGGAAGUGGAACCACCUGCAAGUGGUUCCCCCAAGUGGAACCACUUGCAAGUGGUUCCCCAGAGUGGGAAAGGUUUCAUAAACCACUUGCAAGUGGUUUCUCAAAGUGGAACCACUUGCAAGUGGUUUUCCCUAAAGUGGAUAUUCCCAAAGUGGUUCUCCAAAGUGGGAAAGGUUUCAUAAACCACUUGCAAGUGGUUCCACUUGCAGAAAAUUUCCGCCUGGGUCAGUACGGUUUCAGAUCGAUUCACGCUGCGAAGGCAGUGUGCCGGCAAGUACUGUCGUCUAUGUUACGCUGUCCAUCUUAUUAGGCUUCCUUUAAGUGUAUCUUGCUGGCACUGUGCGUGUGAAAAAAGAUAUUUUGGGAACAGAAAGUAGCAGGACUACACCGCUUCAACAGCGUGAACUCUAGUUGCAAUAAGUGUUCAUCCAUUUCUCAUUUCUCUCACUAAAGGGCUACCUCACCGCUAGAGACGUCAAUGCAGACAACAGCAGUAAGCUAUUAGCCACGCAUUUCCUGAUAAAAACAGUUUUAUGGAACAUAUAUAACGGAAGCGUUGAACCGGUUCGCGGACCGGUUCGGGGCUGCGAACCGGUUUGCGAACCGGUUCGAUUUCUGGCCUGGCCGAACCGGAACUGAACCGGAACGAAAUCAAAACAACGCGAACCCGAACCCGAACCGAACCCGUAUUUUUUGCGGUUCGACACCCUGCUUUAAAGCAACAAAACUGAAAAUGAAUGGAAAAUUAUACCCCAGAAAGCCAACAAAGAACAGUGCAGUAUAAAGUAUGUACCAAUAUUUUAUUCUCUGCAAGUAAUUAUAUUGCUUGUUCCACAUUUACACAGGUAUUUACAUACAUGCCAAAUAAGUGUGGCUUGGCUUUCUUCAGCAGCAGCUCUUGUAACAGCACUGUGGUAGCUAAGGCCCUCUGUUUAUCUAGAAAAAUAAAUGUGAAAGAAUACUCGAUCAGGUGUACACUUCAAAAGAGCAUUGCAGUCCCCUUCCAUCUGUUUUGCCACUCUGUGUAUUGUUUACUUUUCAGACUUUACGUGUAACUCAAAUUAGCACAGUCAUGAGACAUUAUUUGGCAAAAUUUUUUAAUUGGUCAUUUCUAAUAGGUGACUUGAUGAACUAAGCAGGGUUUGGGCAAUCCUAAAUGUCAAUUCCUCUAAACUAAUUCACUACUCGGCUGCUAAUGUUGAAUACAGUCAAUGUUAUAGGGGUCUUUUCAUUCUCAGAUUUCUUCAUGAUAUGAUGCAGCAUUAGCAAAUGUAGGCUCUGAUGCAAGUCAUAGUAGUCAUUCUGCCAACGAACACUUCACUAACCUCACGGAAAUUUGUAGUGAGGUGCGGCAACAAAAUUCGUUCUAUAAUAAACACAUAGGGAAGCAGAUUUGGCGUUACAAACGUAUGACAUGCUUCCGGCCCUGAGUUCCCUCUUCGCAAUAGUAUGUGGUCACAUUACAAUAUUUUGCAACACUUCACUUGCUUGUCGUUCACACGGUUUUUGAGCCUGCGAAGGAAUAUUGAUAUAGCAUUCCUACGCGAAACAGCAUUUUCCAUGCUACAACACUUUGCAGUAAAGAGUGCAAUACACCAAGUUUUUGUUGCAUUCCAAGAUGUGCGUAGUGGUGAGUUAUUGUGGUUGAACUAGUACUUUUGCGGCAGUUAUACAGUAAUUAUACUGGAAAACCAUUCAAUUUCAUAACACAUGCACAGGGCACAUAUUUGCAGCCACUAAAUUUCACAAAGUAUAGAUUCUGAAGUUUGUGGCUUGGUUGCCUUACUUUGUGACAUGCCUUAAAUAGCCAUUGUUAUAUUUAAUUAAGGCAUAUUGCAUAUGUUUGCGGGGUAAAGCAGUUGAAAUGCUUUCUAGCAACCAAGUGUGGAAAUACAGUUUCUGAUUCUA